CAUCUCGGCCGGAUUUCUCCCCAAGCUCGUGAGAAUUUGUGCACCGUCUCAUGCCAUAUCUCCUGUGGUGCCUCUCCUUUGGUUUCUGUGACACAUCCACUUGUUGUGUCAGUUCUCUCUCGGAUUGUUUGGCUGCUGGCUGGCCCCAAAUGGGUGCCACCUUCGCUCGUGUGCCAGCCAAAAGUUGCUGUCAUGUUUAUUGGCAUAAUUUGUGUCAGCGAAAUAAAUGCAAAACAAAAACGUCCCAGUGCGAUUCGUGCACGAGUAUCUUGCGGAUUGUCCGAGAAGCGGCCAAAACAUAAAUACUUGUGGGGGAAGCAUUGGAAUGUGUAGGGAGAGAUUUGAGAGAUUUCGGACUGGUGGAAAACUUUUUACUUGGAGCAGAAAAGACUUGGCAUCUUGAGAGCUUUAUAUUUUCUUUUCUCAGGGACCGCAUAGAAUAGUAGUCCAGAACUGCCCAAAGAACACACAUAUACCAGACCAGAACCAGAACCAUGUCCUGCCCUCCCCCUAUGCCCGUAUACAUAUGUGUUAGAUAAUAAAGUGAAUCUGUUGUCCAAGUGCGCUGA